ACAGCAGCAGCCGCGGUAAUACGGAGGGUGCAAGCGUUAUCCGGAUUUAUUGGGUUUAAAGGGUCCGUAGGCGGACUUAUAAGUCAGUGGUGAAAGCCUGUCGCUUAACGAUAGAACUGCCAUUGAUACUGUAAGUCUUGAGUAUAUUUGAGGUAGCUGGAAUAAGUAGUGUAGCGGUGAAAUGCAUAGAUAUUACUUAGAACACCAAUUGCGAAGGCAGGUUACCAAGAUAUAACUGACGCUGAGGGACGAAAGCGUGGGUAGCGAACAGGAUUAGAUACCCGUGUAGUCCCUGUCUCUUAUAC
rnacentral:rRNA from 1 species